rfam:Loxodonta africana unplaced genomic scaffold scaffold_195, whole genome shotgun sequence.
GCAGCGGUGGUUCAAUGGUAGAAUUCUCCCCUUCCAUGCAGGAGACCUGGGUUCAACUCCCGGCCAGUGCA